UCACUGACCAAAAAGUUUAAGAGCCGCGGUAUAUUGACCGUGCAAAGGUAGCAUAAUAAUUAGUUUUUUAAUUGAAAACUAGCAUGAAUGGUUUGACAAAAGAAAAGCUGUCUCUGUUUUAAAUAUUGAAUUUAACUUCUAAGUGAAAAGGCUUAGAUAGUUCAAGGGGACGAUAAGACCCUAUAAAGCUUCAUAUGUUGUAAGUGUUUUACUAAAUUAGUGUUUCAAAAGUUUGCGCUUGUAAUUUAUUUUGUUGGGGUGACAAAGGUAUAAGUAAAAUAACUGUUUUAAAUAUACACAAUAAUGGUUGAAAUUUGUUAAUUGAUCCUCUGUAGUGAUUUAAGAUUAAGUUACUUUAGGGAUAACAGCGUAAUUCUUUUUGAGAGUCCAUAUCGAAAAAGGAGUUUGCGACCUCGAUGUUGAAUUAAAAAUUCUUUAUUGUGCAGCCGCUAUAAAAGAAGGUCUGUUCGACCUUUAAUUUUUUACAUGAUUUGAGUUCAGAUCGGCGUGAGCCAGGUUG
rnacentral:rRNA from 1 species